UUAAAAGAUACUAGAAGGAGUAGUAAGAGGUAGUUACUCUAAGCAGAGACUCGGAAUACUGGUGAAAUCCGGGAGAGUAAACCUCCGAACUCACCUUCGGCUAAGCCGACAGGCGUUAAAAUGUUUAAGUUGGGCAUUAAGGCCAAUUAGGGUGGUACCGCGAGGAAGAGUUUCUCGUCCCUAAC
rnacentral:ncRNA from 1 species